UCUCUACAUCUUCCACUACACCUCUGGCUUUCUCUGUGGGUCUCUGGAAUUGUCAGUCAGCCGUCAACAAAGCUGACUUCAUUUCUGCCUUUUCUUUAAAAUCCACUCUCAGCAUCUUGGGCUUGACUGAGACCUGGAUUCGUCCAGAAGACUCAGCAACCCCAGCUGCUCUCUCUACUAAUUUCUCUUUCUCUCAUACUUCGCGUCAAGUUGGUCGGGGUGGGGGUACUGGCCUGCUCGUUUCACACAAUUGGAAAUACUCAACCCACUCUACCCUUUGCAAUUACAACUCAUUUGAAUGUCAUGCCAUUACUGUAUCAGCUCCGAUAAAACUCCAGAUUGUGGUAAUCUACCGUCCCCCUGGACAAAUUCUAGCCACCUUCCUAGAGGAGCUGGACGGGUUGUUGUCCUCUUUGUGGAGGAUGGCAUUCCACUCUUAGUCUUUGGUGAUUUCAACAUUCACCUAGACAAGCCUUAUGCUACAGACUUCCACUCGCUACUAGCUUCAUUUGAUCUCAAUCGCCUUACCACUACUAGCACGCACAAAUCAGGCAACCAACUUGAUUUAAUUUACACACGCAAUUGUACUGCAGAUAACAUUCUGGUACAACCGCUACAUAUCUCGGACCAUUUCUUCAUUACAUUUACACUACAUUUUGCUACCCGUGUGCCACCAACCCCCCUACCGGUUACUUUUAGACGAAACCUGCGCUCCCUUUCUCCUUCCCAUCUUUCCUCUGUAGUAUCCUCCUCUCUUCCCUCACCUACCCAUUUCUCAUCUCUGGAUGUAAACGCAGCUACUGAAACUUUAUGCUCUACCUUAACUUCUUGUCUAGACGACAUUUGUCCUCUCUCCUCUAGGUCAGCACGGACUGCCCCUUCUAACCCCUGGUUAUCUGAUGUUCUUCGUGAACAUCGGACUAAACUCAGAGCGGCAGAGAGAAAAUGGCACAAAUCAAACAACCCGUCGGACCUGAAACAACAAACUGGACGCUAAACAGUCAGGUUUCAGGAGUGGCCAUUCAACUGAGACUGCACUUCUCUCGGUCACUGAAGCCCUGCGAAUUGCAAAAGCCCAUUCCAAAUCAUCAGUCCUCAUUCUGCUGGAUCUAUCUGCCGCGUUUGACACUGUCAAUCAUCAGAUACUCCUCUCCACUCUCUCAUCACUGGGCAUCGCUGGAAUUCCACUUCGCUGGUUUGAAUCCUAUCUCACUGAUGAUCCAACGGUAGCUGCAAGGAUCUCAGGUUGCCUGGCAGACAUCUCGGCAUGGAUGAAAGAACAUCACCUCCAGCUCAACCUGGCAAAGACUGAGCUUCUUGUCUUUCCUGCCGCUCCAACUCUACAGCAUGACAUCACGAUCCAGUUAGGUUCAUCAACAAUUACCCCAUCAACUUCGGUCAGAAAUCUUGGUGUAAUCUUUGAUGACCAGCUGACCUUCAAAGACCACAUUGCAAAGACUGCUCGAUCUUGCAGGUUUGCACUACACAACAUCAGAAAGAUCAGGCCCUUUCUGACGGAGCAUGCUGCACAACUUCUUGUCCAGGCCCUUGUCAUUUCUAGGCUGGACUACUGCAAUGCUCUUCUGGCUGGACUUCCAUCAAACACAGUCAAACCUCUACAAAUGAUUCAGAAUGCGGCGGCACGACUGGUCUUCAAGGAACCCAAAAGAGCCCAUGUUACACCUCUCUUUAUCUCAUUGCAUUGGCUACCAAUCGCAGCUCGCAUCAAGUUCAAGACACUGAUGCUUGCUCAUAGAACAACCACAGGCUCAGCACCCGCCU